rnacentral:sRNA from 1 species
UAUGAUAAUGUAGAUCUUCACCAAUUAA